AACGAACGCUGGCGGCAUGCCUAACACAUGCAAGUCGAACGAAGCCUUCGGGCUUAGUGGCGCACGGGUGCGUAACGCGUGGGAAUCUGCCCCUUGCUUCGGAAUAACAGUUAGAAAUGACUGCUAAUACCGGAUGAAGUCUUCGGACCAAAGAUUUAUCGGCAAGGGAUGAGCCCGCGUAGGAUUAGGUAGUUGGUGGGGUAAAGGCCUACCAAGCCGACGAUCCUUAGCUGGUCUGAGAGGAUGAUCAGCCACACUGGGACUGAGACACGGCCCAGACGCCUACGGGAGGCAGCAGUGGGGAAUAUUGGACAAUGGACGUAAGUCUGAUCAAGCAAUGCCGCGUGAGUGAUGAAGGCCUUAGGGUUGUAAAGCUCUUUUACCAGGGAUGAUAAUGACAGUACCUGGAGAAUAAGCCCCGGCUAACUCCGUG
rnacentral:rRNA from 1 species